rnacentral:lncRNA from 1 species
CGCGCGCGCCGGAAGUGGCGGUGCUCCGCGGCGGCGCGCCGGGCCGGCCAGCGCAGGGCGCUGGCCAGGUGUGCAGUUCCCCAGGGCGGCGGCGCUGAGCGGCGGGCGCGGUGAGUACCGCCCUCGCCUGCGGCGCCUCUGGCCGGCGGCCCGCCGGUCCCCUCCGACGAGCCCUCCCGGACGGGACGCAGCCGGGCGCGGCGCUUCCCUGACGUGCCCUCCCGAGUCUGGUGCGGCUUUAGGAGACUGCUGCUGCCAGAGAUCGUUGGUUUGCGUAGAGGAUCUGAAAUACUACUUUUCAAAGGGCUCAUGGAAAAAUAGGCACCUGUGCUAGCAGAUCCUGAUUGCCGCUCUCCUACCAACUCACAGAAGAUACCAAAAAUAUCAAGAAAAGAAGGAUAUUUCUCAAAGCAGAAGUGUAUGAGUUUAUGAGUGAAUUGAUAUACCAAAAUUCUUAAUAUUGUUGAAUACACACUUAAAUACUGUCUAAUAAAAUUUAUGAACUGUGGAGAUAAAUACAUAAUUUUAUAAGCUUCUAAAAAC